rnacentral:rRNA from 1 species
UACAGAGGGUGCAAGCGUUAAUCGGAAUUACUGGGCGUAAAGCGUGCGUAGACGGUUACAUAAGUCAGAUGUGAAAGCCCCGGGCUCAACCUGGGAAUUGCAUUUGAAACUGGCGGGCUUGAGUAUGGCAGAGGGGGGUGGAAUUCCGCGUGUAGCAGUGAAAUGCGUAGAGAUGCGGAGGAACACCGAUGGCGAAGGCAGCCCCCUGGGCCAAUACUGACGCUCAGGCACGAAAGCGUGGGGAGCAAACAGG